ACACCCACAUAGGAAAAGAAAGCUACAAUUUUAAAAUGUCUUGAUACUAUAACAGCCCCUUGGACAGGAAAUCUCAACAUGUUACAACUGUAAUUAAGAAAACCAAGAUGACAGCCACCAAUGUAGUAACAACCUCUUUUCCUAUUUCGCCUUUUGUGGUACCAGCUUAUGUAAAUAUACAUCCAUAAACUCUGUAUUUGCUAUUUGGCGUUUUGCAAUAUCAACUUUUAUAAAUAUGUAAACACAUGCAAAGCUCUGCAAUCAUAAACUUAAUGUAUAUAGAAUGCAUGUGUGUAGUCACU